CGCCGCGUCGCGAAGACAUGAGAGGAGCCGACAGCGACAGGGGUCUCUGAGCUAUUUGUACAUACACCGAAUGGAAAACGCGGGCCGACUCGCCAACAGACGAAAAAAACUUGCAGGACCAAAGGAACGAGAGCUUCCUUAAUUACCACGUUACACCCUGCGCUCCUUCUUUCCUGUUCACUAUCGUGAAGUUAAUAGAACUAGAUGAUAAAUGCGGUGUGUAGCUAAUUAUCAGCCUGUUUGCCUCUGCGAGCAUGAUGUCUAAAAAUGUUUAUACCUAUGUGGAAGUAGUGGAUGAUGGUAAACGAUAGAAUUACACUCAGGUCGUAAAUGACAAUUUACGAUUAAAUAUACAUACUAUCAUUCUUACUGUCUAAUUCUAACUUAUAUAAUCGAAAAUCAUUGAAGCAACAUGGAAUCGUAACAUGGACCAGUAGAUGACUUCCCUUUUCCUUUCCUUCGCACGGCUAAUGAAAUCGGCGCACUCUUAAUGAGAACGAAGAAAGCCGAUACUGAACGACUUCCAAAGAAGUGACUCCUAUGGGCAGGUUCCGUCGCUCCUUUGACUAGGGAGUAAUAGAGUAUCGGGGCGGAGUAUCUUACCGCAGAGUAGAAACGGAGUAUUCGUAUUUCAAAGGGACGGUCCGUUACGCCGCAACGCUUCUCAUUAUGUUAUGCGCGCCUAAAUGUCAUGAGAAAACCAUACCCGCCCGUACGUCGACAGGAGAACCGACAGCAAUGAAGAUUUUCACGCGGAAGCGUCUCUUCAGGGCUACUUUAUCUUUGUAACAAAAGAAGAUGGCGGACUUAGAUAGAAAAGUCUUAUCUUCAAAAAAACUGACCUGUCGCUUUAUAAUUUCUCAAGCAACAAGCGUUAGAUCAAAAAAGGAUAGGGAUUCGAACAAAUAGUUCAUGUUCUACUUAGAAGGUACUUGAAUACUGCUUUAUAUCACCUACCAUUGGAAAAACUACGAUUGGUUAUUUUGGCCGCCGUCGGUGAAGUUAGGAACGCCGAGUGGGUGUCUAAUUUCGUCGAAGAGGAGGGAUUUCACGCUCGAUCAACGCUGAUUGGACAACGCUGGUCGUUUGCUCUUAUAACUCGUCGUUUGUACGCGAACCCGUACUUUGACAACAGUCUGCUCCACGUGAAUCACAAUUUUCUUUACAAGGACUAGCCGGUUGACUGCUAGCCACCGACGAUUGCAUCAUGAUGGAUUGUACGCUGAGCACCGGCGACGUGGUGACCACCGG
rnacentral:lncRNA from 1 species